rfam:Solanum tuberosum cultivar DM 1-3 516 R44 scf00497_4, whole genome shotgun sequence.
CCUCUGCCUAUGAUGGUGUUAAAUAUACUUUGAUUAUUUUGUAUGAAACAAACCUAAAGCUGAGGCUAGAGU